GUGCUCGCUUCGGCAGCACACAUACUAAAAU
rnacentral:snRNA from 1 species